GACGAACGCUGGCGGCGUGCUUAACACAUGCAAGUCGAACGGAAAGGCCCUGCUUUUGUUGGGUGCUCGAUUGGCGAACGGGUGAGUAACACGUGAGUAACCUGCCCUUGACUUUGGGAUAACUUCAGGAAACUGGGGCUAAUACCGGAUAUGAGCUCCUGCUGCAUGGUGGGGGUUGGAAAGUUUCGGCGGUUGGGGAUGGACUCGCGGCUUAUCAGCUUGUUGGUGGGGUAGUGGCUUACCAAGGCUUUGACGGGUAGCCGGCCUGAGAGGGUGACCGGCCACAUGGGGACUGAGAUACGGCCCAGACUCCUACGGGAGGCAGCAGUGGGGAAUAUUGCACAAUGGGCGGAAGCCUGAUGCAGCAACGCCGCGUGCGGGAUGACGGCCUUCGGGUUGUAAACCGCUUUCGCCUGUGACGAAGCGUGAGUGACGGUAAUGGGUAAAGAAGCACCGGCUAACUACGUG
rnacentral:rRNA from 1 species